ACCCGCCAAUCGGGAGAGACUGGCCGCUUUGAACUGCAUCGCAGCGAAAGGCAGGCCGGCGCCGAAGGAGCAACCGCCCCGGAAACUCUCAGGCAAAAGGACCGUGUGCGGGAC
rnacentral:ncRNA from 2 species